rnacentral:rRNA from 1 species
ACAAUAUACAAGGUGCUGCAUGGUUGUCGUCAGCUCGUGCCGUGAGGUGUCGGGUUAAGUCCCGCAACGAGCGCAACCCUCGCAUUCAGUUGCCAUCGGGUAAUGCCGGGCACUCUGGAAGGACUGCCAUCGACAAGAUGGAGGAAGGUGGGGAUGACGUCAAGUCAUCAUGGCCCUUAUGUCCAGGGCGACACACGUGCUACAAUGGCCGGCACAACGGGAAGCGAGUUCGCGAGGACGAGCGGAUCCCUUAAAGCCGGUCGCAGUUCGGAUUGAAGUCUGCAACUCGACUUCAUGAAGCUGGAAUCGCUAGUAAUCGUGGAUCAGCCAAGCCGCGGUGAAUACGUUCCCGGGCCUU